UACGUAGGGACCAAGCGUUGUCCGGAAUCAUUGGGCGUAAAGAGCUCGUAGGCGGCUCAGUAAGUCAGGUGUGAAACCUCCAGGCUCAACCUGGAGACGCCACCUGAUACUGCUGUGGCUAGAGUCCGGUAGGGGAGCGUGGAAUUCCUGGUGUAGCGGUGAAAUGCGCAGAUAUCAGGAGGAACACCAGCGGCGAAGGCGGCGCUCUGGGCCGGAACUGACGCUGAGGAGCGAAAGCGUGGGUAGCAAACAGG
rnacentral:rRNA from 1 species